AAGAUAAUAGUUGCUACGAACAAGUUAGUCUUGAUGAACAAGAUGGAGAAACUACUAAGAAAAACGAGAUAUCAACCAUGUACAAAUCUGUUGUUGCCACUGUCUUACUACUGAUAGUAGCAUUUGUGUUGAUAUUGACUGGAAUUGCAAUCUUUCUAAGGAGAAAAAGGAGGGAGAGGAAUACAGACGAACAGGAAGGAAAUCCCAAUUCUUC